UUUUAAUUAUAAAAAUAAGUAUCCUUUAGCCUUUAAUUCGUUUGUCUAAGUUUUUGAUAUAAACAUUUACCAUUUACAAAAUAAAUCUAUGCAAUAAAUAAUGACACGGGCAACAAUUUAGAGGUAAACUAAUGUGCCAGCUACCGCGGUUAAACAUUAUCUAGUGAAUUAUUACUUGUUAUUGUUGUUUUUAUGCAUAUCUAUUAAACAAACACUUAGUGAAAUAUUCACUUGUAAUUUUGAUGUAUCCAACAACAAAUGAAUUUAGCCAUAAAACUAGGAUUAGAUACCCUACUAUUCUAUAUUUUAAAAAAUAAGAAGUAAAAUAAAAUUUAAACUUAAUCAGGAUGGCAGUAGAGUUUCUUAGAGGAGAUUGUUCUUUAAUCGAUAACCCUCGUUUAAUUCUUUUACUAAAUUAUGUAUAUCGCCGUUGAAAUUCAAUUUUAGAUUGAAUUACUUAUUUAAAUAUAUGUCAACAGGUCUAGAUACAAAUAAUGUAAAAGUGUGUAAUGAUCUACAAAUACAAAUAAUUUUAGUAAUAGUGAAACAUAAAUAAAAUUUACUAUUAAAGGAUUUAAAAGUAAUAUUGUCUAAAUUUUAUAACAGAAUGAACCAUAUAAUACUUUAUGCACAUAUCGCCCGUCACCCUCUAAGAGGUAAGUCGUAACAAAGUAGAUUUUUCGGAAGAAGAAUCUAGAUU
rnacentral:ncRNA from 1 species